UCCAGACUCCUACGGGAGGCAGCAGUGGGGAAUAUUGCACAAUGGGGGAAACCCUGAUGCAGCAACGCCGCGUGAAGGAAGACGGUUUUCGGAUUGUAAACUUCUGUUCUUAGUGAAGAAGAAUGACGGUAGCUAAGGAGCAAGCCACGGCUAACUUCGUGCCAGCAGCCGCGGUAAUACGAAGGGGGCAAGCGUUGUUCGGAAUUACUGGGCGUAAAGGGAGUGUAGGCGGUUUAGUAAGAUAGUGGUGAAAUCCCAGGGCUUAACUUUGGAAUUGCCAUUAUAACUAUUAGACUAGAAUUACAGAGAGGAUAGUGGAAUACCCAGUGUAGAGGUGAAAUUCGUAGAUAUUGGGUAGAACACCAGUGGCGAAGGCGACUAUCUGGCUGUACAUUGACGCUGAGGCUCGAAAGCAUGGGGAUCAAACAGGAUUAGAUACCCCAGUACG
rnacentral:rRNA from 1 species